rnacentral:rRNA from 1 species
AGUGAACGCUGGCGGUAGGCCUAACACAUGCAAGUCGAACGGCAGCACAGUAAGAGCUUGCUCUUACGGGUGGCGAGUGGCGGACGGGUGAGGAAUACAUCGGAAUCUACUUUUUCGUGGGGGAUAACGUAGGGAAACUUACGCUAAUACCGCAUACGACCUACGGGUGAAAGCAGGGGAUCUUCGGACCUUGCGCGAUUGAAUGAGCCGAUGUCGGAUUAGCUAGUUGGCGGGGUAAAGGCCCACCAAGGCGACGAUCCGUAGCUGGUCUGAGAGGAUGAUCAGCCACACUGGAGCUGAGACACGGUCCAGACUCCUACGGGAGGCAGCAGUGGGGAAUAUUGGACAAUGGGCGCAAGCCUGAUCCAGCCAUACCGCGUGGGUGAAGAAGGCCUUCGGGUUGUAAAGCCCUUUCGUUGGGAAAGAAAAGCAGCAGGUUAAUACCCCGCUGUUCUGACGGUACCCAAAGAAUAAGCACCGGCUAACUUCGU